AUCUCCAUCAAUGGUCAGCAGAACCAAGACCAACGGUCAGCCCAGGUCGAGGCCAUGUCAAGUCAAGGUCAACCAACCAAUGGUCAAGAUCAAGCCAUGGUUGAGACCAAUCCUGAGACCAAACUCAAGUCAAGACCAAGCCAUGGCCGAGACCAACCCAAAAACCAAGACAAACUCAAGACCAAUCCAAGGUCAAAACAAACUCAAAGUCAAGACCAACCCAUGGUCAAGACCAACCCAUGGCCAAGACCAACCCAAAGUCAAGAUCAACCCAUGGUCAAGAUCAACCAGCCCAAAGUCGACACCAAGCCAUGGCCAACCAAUAGUCAAGACCAACCAACCCAAGAUCAAAAUCAACCCAAGGUCAAAACGAACUCAAAGUCAAGACCAACCAAUGGCCAAGACCAACUCAAGGUCAAAACCAACCCAAAAUCAAGACCAACUCAUGGUCAAGAUCAACCAACCCAAAGUCGAGACCGACCCAAGGUCAAGACCAACCCAAAGUCAAAACCGACUCAAGGUCAAGACCAACCAAUGGCCAAGACCAACCCAAGGUCAACCCAAAGUCAAGACCAACCCAUGGCCAAAGUCAAGGCCUACUCAUGUCAAGAUCAAGCAAGUCAACGUCAAGACCAACCCAAGGUCAAGACCAUCCAAUGACCAAAGUCAAGACCAAUCCAUGACCAAGACCAACCCAAGGUCAACCCAAAGUCAAAACCAACCCAAGGUCAAGAUGAACCCAAAGUCAAGACUGACCCAAUGUCGAGACCAAUCCAAGGCCAACCCAAGGUCAAGACCAACCGAUGGCCAACGUCAACCCAAAGUCAAGAGCAACUCACGGUGAAGACCAACCCAAGGUCAACCCAAAGUCAAGACCAACCAAUGGCCAAGCUCAACCAAUGGCCAAGACCAACCCAAGAUCAACCUUAAGUCAAGACCAAUCCAUGGCCAAUGUCAACCCAAAGUCAAGACCAAUCCAUGACCAAGACCAACCCAAGGUCAACCCAAAGUCAAGACCAACCCAUGGCCAAAGUCAAGACCAACUCACGUCAAGACCAACCCAAAGUCAAAACCAACCCAAGGUCAAGACCAACCAAUGGCCAAAGUCAACCCAAAGUCAAGAUCAACUCAUGGUGAAGACCAACCCAAGGUCAACUCAAAGUCAAGACCAACCCAUGGCCAAAGUCAAGGCCAACUCAUGUCAAGAUCAAGCAACUCAACAUCAAGACCAACCCAAAGUCAAAACCAACCCAAGGUCAAGAUGAACCCAAAGUCAAGACCGACCCAAUGUCGAGACCAAUCCAAGGCCAACCCAACAUCAAGACCAACCCAUGGCCAAAGUCAAGGCCUACUCACGUCAAGAUCAAGCAACUCAACGUCAAGACCAACCCAAAGCCAAAACCAACUCAAGGCCAAGAUGAACCCAAAGUCAAGACUGACCCAAAGUCGAGACCAACCAAUGGCCAAAGUCAACCCAAGGUCAAGACCAACUCAUGGCCAAGACCAACCCAAAAACCAACUCAAAGUCAAGACCAACCUAUGACCAAAGUCAAGGCCAACUCAUGUCAAGAUCAAGCAACUCAAGAUCAAGACCAACCAAUGGCCAAAGUCAACCCAAAGUCAAAACCAACCCAAGGUCAAGACGAACCCAAAGUCAAGACCGACCCAAUGUCGAGACCAAUCCAAGGCCAACCCAAGGUCAAGACCAACCAAUGACCAAAGUCAACCCAAAGUCAAGACCAACUCAUGGUGAAGACCAACCCAAGGCCAACUCAAAGUCAAGACCAAUCCAUGGCCAAAGUCAAAACCAACCCAAGGUCAAGAAGAACCAACCGAUGAUCAAG
ensembl:lncRNA